GCGGCGCGGGUCCUCCAUAUGCUGAGCGCCGGUCCCCUGGGCCCACUUUUCUUUCUCUAUACUUUGUCUCUGUUGUCUUUCUUUUCUCAAGUCUCUCGUUCCACCUGAGGAGAAAUGCCCACAGCUGUGGAGGCGCAGGCCACUCCAUCUGGUGCCCAACGUGGAUGCUUUUCUCUAGGGUGAAGGGACUCUCGAGUGUGGUCAUUGAGGACAAGUCAACGAGAGAUUCCCGAGUACGUCUACAGUGAGCCUUGUGGGUGAAGGUACUCUACAGUGUGGUCAUUGAGGACAAGUUGACGAGAGAGUCCCAAGUACGUCCACGGUCAGCCUUGCGGUAAGCUUGUGUGCUUAGAGGAACCCAGGGUAACGAUGGGGCAAACUGAAAGUAAAUAUGCCUCUUAUCUCAGCUUUAUUAAAAUUCUUUUAAGAAGAGGGGGAGUUAGAGCUUCUACAGAAAAUCUAAUUACGCUAUUUCAAACAAUAGAACAAUUCUGCCCAUGGUUUCCAGAACAGGGAACUUUAGAUCUAAAAGAUUGGGAAAAAAUUGGCAAAGAAUUAAAACAAGCAAAUAGGGAAGGUAAAAUCAUCCCACUUACAGUAUGGAAUGAUUGGGCCAUUAUUAAAGCAACUUUAGAACCAUUUCAAACAGGAGAAGAUAUUGUUUCAGUUUCUGAUGCCCCUAAAAGCUGUGUAACAGAUUGUGAAGAAGAGGCAGGGACAGAAUCCCAGCAAGGAACGGAAAGUUCACAUUGUAAAUAUGUAGCAGAGUCUGUAAUGGCUCAGUCAACGCAAAAUGUUGACUACAGUCAAUUACAGGAGAUAAUAUACCCUGAAUCAUCAAAAUUGGGGGAAGGAGGUCCAGAAUCAUUGGGGCCAUCAGAGCCUAAACCACGAUCGCCAUCAACUCCUCCUCCCGUGGUUCAGAUGCCUGUAACAUUACAACCUCAAACGCAGGUUAGACAAGCACAAACCCCAA
rnacentral:lncRNA from 1 species